rnacentral:rRNA from 1 species
AGAGUUUGAUCCUGGCUCAGAACGAACGCUGGCGGCGCGUUUUAAGCAUGCAAGUCGAACGGUAGCAGAGUGCUUGCACUCUGUGAGAGUGGCGGACGGGUGAGUAACACGUAGGUGAUCUGCCCUUGAGUUGGGGAUAGCCCAUGGAAACAUGGGGUAAUACCGAAUACGGUCUGGACCCUUUGGGGACCGGAAGAAAGGCGCUUCGGCGCCGCUCGAGGAUGAGCCUGCGGCUGAUUAGCUAGUUGGUAGGGUAAAGGCCUACCAAGGCGACGAUCAGUAGCCGGCCUGAGAGGGUGAACGGCCACACUGGGACUGAGAUACGGCCCAGACUCCUACGGGAGGCAGCAGCUAAGAAUCUUCUGCAAUGGACGAAAGUCUGACAGAGCGACGCCGCGUGAGUGAUGAAGGCCGGAAGGUUGUAAAGCCCUUUUCUAUCUGAGGAAUAACCCUGGGAGGCAAUACCCGGGGGAUGACGGUAGGGUAGGAAUAAGCCCCGGCCAAUUACGUGCCAGCAGCCGCGGUAACACGUAUGGGGCGAGCGUUGUUCGGAAUCAUUGGGCGUAAAGGGCGCGUAGGCGGAAGUGCAAGCUUGGUGUGAAAUCCCCGCAGCUCAACUGCGGAGCCGCGCUGAGAACCUGCAUAUCUAGAGUUCAAAGAGGGGGAAGCUGGAAUUCCAGGUGUAGGGGUGAAAUCUGUAGAGAUCUGGAAGAACAUCAGUGGCGAAGGCGAGCUUCUGGCUAUGAACUGACGCUGAGGCGCGAAAGCGUGGGGAGCGAACAGGAUUAGAUACCCUGGUAGUCCACGCUGUAAACGAUGUGCACUAGGUGUUGGGCCGCUGAAGGUUCAGUGCCGUAGCUAACGCGUUAAGUGCACCGCCUGGGGAGUAUGCUCGCAAGGGUGAAACUCAAAGGAAUUGACGGGGGCCCGCACAAGCGGUGGAGCAUGUGGUUUAAUUCGAUGAUACGCGAGAAACCUUACCAGGGCUUGACAUAUGCCGGGAUGCGCAUGAGAGUGCGCAGCCCUUCGGGGCCGGUAUACAGGUGCUGCAUGGCCGUCGUCAGCUCGUGCCGUGAGGUGUUGGGUUAAGUCCCGCAACGAGCGCAACCCCUAUUGUCUGUUGCCAGCAUUUCGGAUGGGGACUCAGACAAGACUGCCGGUGACAAACCGGAGGAAGGUGGGGACGACGUCAGGUCAUCAUGGCCCUUAUGUCCUGGGCUACACACGUGCUACAAUGGUCGGUACAGAGCGAAGCAAAACCGCGAGGUGGAGCAAAACGCAGAAAGCCGGCCUCAGUUCGGAUUGGAGUCUGAAACCCGACUCCAUGAAGGUGGAAUCGCUAGUAAUCGCGCAUCAGCAUGGCGCGGUGAAUACGUUCCCGGGCCUUGUACACACCGCCCGUCACACCACCCGAGUUGGGGGUACCCGAAGUCGCUUGCCUAACCUGCAAAGGAGGGCGGUGCCGAAGGUAUGCCUGGUAAGGGGGGUGAAGUCGUAACAAGGUA